UACAGAGGUCCCGAGCGUUAUCCGGAUUUACUGGGCGUAAAGAGUCCGUAGCUGGCAUUGUAAGUCUUGAUUCAAAUACUCUGACUCACUCAGAGAAAGGGUCAAGAUACUGCAAAGCUCGAGAUCAUAGGGGGUUAGUGGAAUUUCCAGUGGAGGGGUGAAAUCCGUUGAUAUUGGAAGGAAUGCCGAAAGCGAAAGCAGCUAACUACUAUAUUCUGACAGUCAAGGACGAAAGCUUGGGGAUCGAACGGG
rnacentral:rRNA from 1 species